UACGUAGGUGGCAAGCGUUGUUCGGAAUUAUUGGGCGUAAAGCGCACGUAGGCGGACCAUCAAGUCGGAUGUGAAAUCCCUCGGCUUAACCGAGGACGUGCAUUCGAAACUGAUGGCCUUGAGUACGAAAGAGGAUCGCGGAAUUCCCGGUGUAGAGGUGAAAUUCGUAGAUAUCUGGAGGAACACCGGUGGCGAAGGCGGCAUCCUGGACCGGCAUUGACGCUGAGGAGCGAAAGCCAGGGGAGCAAACGGG
rnacentral:rRNA from 1 species